GCACCAGUAGCUCAGCUGGACAGAGCAACCGCCUUCUAAGCGGUGGGUCAGAGGUUCGAAUCCUCUCUGGUGCG
rnacentral:tRNA from 1 species